rnacentral:rRNA from 1 species
UACGUAGGGGGCAAGCGUUGUCCGGAAUCAUUGGGCGUAAAGCGCGCGUAGGCGGCCCGGUAAGUCCGCUGUAAAAGUCCAGGGCUCAACCCUGGAAAGCCGGUGGAUACUGUCGGGCUAGAGUCCGGAAGAGGCGAGUGGAAUUCCUGGUGUAGCGGUGGAAUGCGCAGAUAUCAGGAGGAACACCGAUGGCGAAGGCAGCUCGCUGGGACGUUACUGACGCUGAGACGCGAAAGCGUGGGGAGCAAACAGG